UGAAGUUAAGCUGACUGGUCUGUAAUUCCCCAGGUUGUCCUUAUUCCCCUUUUUAGAGGCUGGCACUAUAUUUGCCCUUUUAUAGCCCUCUGGAAUCUCUCUGGAAUCCAUGACUUUUCAAGAUAAUCGCGAUGCAUGAGGCUUCAGACAGAGGACCGGGGACUUCAGGGACCGUUACUCUAUUGCAGGAGGGUGCUUCAGAGACAGAGGCUAAUUCCUUUGUAUGGAGACGAGGGCCAAGGCAAACUCAAGCAGUACAAGGAAGAACAACCUUACCCAAGAGUCUCUCUAUAAAGCCAGGCAGAAAGAAGUGCUGAGAAUCAAGCUCAGACUCUUCCAUCCCCCACCAUUCCCAGCCAUCCAGACGAGCAGAAUGGGGGAGUAAGGAAAAAAGAGAUUUCCCACAACCCCUUGGCAUCAUCCACACCAGGCAGAAAUGGAGGCAGACCUCUUCCAGAGUACCCCUGCAGGACUCCAGGAAGCAGAAGGAGGAGUCUCCCCCGCAUGGGACCUCAGGAGACACCUGGCAGGGGGAUCCUCAAGAACAGUUAAUUGACAGGGCAAGGGAGAGAAAUUUAACCCUCUGUGCUGGCAUACAUACGGUUUCACAGCUACAUUGUCACCACUUCAAUUUUGUUUAAUAAAUACAUCUUAUUGUAAAUAUACUAUGGCUUUCUUAUACUUAUCUCAUGGAAAAGCAUACAUUUUAUGGCAAUUCUAUGGAAAAAUCAGUUUUCAUUUUAUUUUUUGUCUAGUUAGAAAUAUA